UGGAAAGUUAAAGUCGUAACAAGGUUUCCGUAGGUGAACCUGCGGAAGGAUCAUUACAGAAUGAAAAGUGCUUAACUGCAUUUUUUCUUACACAUGUGUUUUUCUUUUUUUGAAAACUUUGCUUUGGUAGGCCUUCUAUAUGGGGCCUGCCAGAGAUUAAACUCAACCAAAUUUUAUUUAAUGUCAACCGAUUAUUUAAUAGUCAAAACUUUCAACAACGGAUCUCUUGGUUCUCGCAUCGAUGAAGAACGCAGCGAAAUGCGAUAAGUAAUAUGAAUUGCAGAUAUUCGUGAAUCAUCGAAUCUUUGAACGCACAUUGCGCCCUUUGGUAUUCCAAAGGGCAUGCCUGUUUGAGCGUCAUUUCUCCCUCAAACCCUCGGGUUUGGUGUUGAGCGAUACGCUGGGUUUGCUUGAAAGAAAGGCGGAGUAUAAACUAAUGGAUAGGUUUUUUCCACUCAUUGGUACAAACUCCAAAACUUCUUCCAAAUUCGACCUCAAAUCAGGUAGGACUACCCGCUGAACUUAAGCAUAUCAAUAGCGGGGAGGAA
rnacentral:sRNA from 1 species